rnacentral:rRNA from 1 species
CAAAGGGAUUACCGGUGGCGGAUGGGCAUGCGGCGCAUUAGCUAGUCGGCGGGGUAACGGCCCACCGAGGCGACGAUGCGUAGGGGUUCUGAGAGGAAGGUCCCCCACACUGGUACUGAGACACGGACCAGACUCCUACGGGAGGCAGCAGUGAGGAAUAUUGGUCAAUGGGCGCGAGCCUGAACCAGCCAAGUCGCGUGAGGGAUGACGGUCCUACGGAUUGUAAACCUCUUUUGCCGGGGAGCAAGCGUGCGUUCGUGAACGCGCGUCGAGAGUACCCGGAGAAAAAGCAUCGGCUAACUCCGUGCCAGCAGCCGCGGUAAUACGGAGGAUGCGAGCGUUAUCCGGAUUUAUUGGGUUUAAAGGGUGCGUAGGCGGGAUGCCAAGUCAGCGGUAAAAAUGCGGUGCUCAACGCCGUCGAGCCGUUGAAACUGGCGUUCUUGAGUGGGCGAGAAGUAUGCGGAAUGCGUGGUGUAGCGGUGAAAUGCAUAGAUAUCACGCAGAACUCCGAUUGCGAAGGCAGCAUACCGGCGCCCUACUGACGCUGAGGCACGAAAGCGUGGGUAUCGAACAGGAUUAGAUACCCUGGUAGUCCACGCAGUAAACGAUGAAU